UCUCCACUUCCACCGGUUCCUGUUCCCGAAACCUCCUCACUCCUACGGUCCCACCACGUCAUCGAUCCAAGGCAUAGCAACCUCCCCAAUCAGCGCCGGUUUGCCCAUCCUUCCUUCCCAAUCAACAGCGGCGGUUCCAAUCCAAUGGGCAACGGCGGUGCCACUCAGCUCCCAAUCGGCAGCGACGGUACCACGCUCUUAUCCUGGAGCCCCGACCAUAUGACGCCGAGGCUGUAGCUUCCGUCAGCUCCCCGGCGCUAUUGCCGCCGCCCGCCCGACGCUGCCCACGCUCAUCAACAUCGCUGCCAGGGUUAGGGCCGCCGCCGCCGCCGCUCGACGCCGACGCUGCAGCGCUACUCCGCCGACGCACUCGCCACGUCUUCAGGCAUCGCCUCCAGGCGCUGCUCCACUAGCAGCGACGCGAAUCCGCGACCCCUCCGCCCUCUGCUGUUUUUGACCCCGCCUGCGGCCUUCGGCGCUCCCAUCGUCGUUGCGCCCUUUGCUGGCUGCGGCCCACCUGCGACCUCCGGCCGCCGCGCGCAACGGCCGCGCCACCGCUGCAGCAACAGCGCGGCCACUGCCUAACCCGGCAGCAGCAACUCGCCCCCGACUUAGGCCAUCUGGCUUCCCUUGGAUCGACCCUCCAGAGCUGAUCAGUAACUUUUGGUUUUCUAUGCAGAAAUUUGCAAAGAUUUUUUAUAAGAAGAAGAAGAAACAACUAGCCACAACAGAUAGUUUUGUCUGUGAGAAUUCAACCUUAACUGUUGACAUAGUUGGUCCAUUAAGCACAGAUCACUAUUUGAUCGAUCCACGGAUAACUUUCUGAAAAGGAGGUUGAGCAUUUUGUUUUCAACCGAUUUCAGAGGAAAUACGCUACUGGACGAGCAUACCAAACAAGCUGUUGUCGUCUGUCAAGCUAGAUUCAUAUAAUGGAUAAUAAUUCUCGUGCACCAUUGGGAGACAAGACUAACGCUGCCAAAGAAGCUGAUGCUAAAGAACAUAAGAGAGAAAGGGAUAGAGCUCGAUGGCGUGAACAAAAGGAUGCAAUUAACAAGAGGCGUCGUGAAAAAUACCAUCAGAGAAAAAACCAACAUGUUCUUGUAACUACAAAUUGUAAUAUGUGAAAUCCUAACUAUUGUCAUGGCAUGAUAAAUUGACAUUUAUUUUUUAUAAAUAUAUAUAAUGUGUAAAAUUUUGUAGAUGACGAUGCUGCAUCAAAUAAGGAAAACGUUGAUCCUGGUGAAACAGAUGAUUGGCUCCAUAGGAAUGAUUCCUAUUAUACCAACAAUAUAGUUGAUGAGAACAUGUCCACUCAAUUACCAUGUAAUUAAAGAUGUUGAAAUAUUUUAGGUCUCUGAAAAUGAUGUUGUGCAAUGAUAUGACACAAUAUAGCUAAUAAAUGUAUUUAUAUGAUUUUGUUG